GUACUAGCUACGGCGGUACAUACUCUAAAAUUGGAACAAUGUAAAGAAGAUUAGCAUGGGCCCUGCGCAAGGAUGACACGGAAAUUCGUGAAGCGUUCUAUAUAUUU
rnacentral:snRNA from 1 species